rnacentral:sRNA from 1 species
ACUUCUGAAGGUCAACAUAUAACUUUCUCAUCCCUGACAUCAACUGUCAUCCCUGUGAGCAGAACCAACUACCAAAGGAGAGAGGAGCUUGGAGGGAACACAGAGCGAUGCAAGCCUGGAGAAAAGGCCCCGAUGGCCCCCAGAAGACCUCUUCAGACAGCAUAGAUUAGCAGCUAUUACUGAACUCCAGGAGGCAACAGGAGGGGGGUGGGAUGGAGGUGGGGACCCGCUGAAGAAGGCCUAGGUGGGAGACAGGUAACCUGGUACAGGUACCCACCCCACAACUCAUUAAGGGCCAUGGAGGGAGGAAGGCUCUCAAGUGCCACGAAAAUUCCCAAGGCAGCAGAGGACUUGUAUGGAAACGCCGGUUAUUCGUCCCUACCCACCCCCCGCCCCCCGCCC